AAACACAUUCCUUUUUUAUAUUAACUAGCAUUUUUUUCGAGUUUCUUAAAGCUUUGUUUGCAACUCUGGAUGAUUUAUGUGGGACAUGAUAAAACCAAUCUCCACACAGGCUAAUUUGAGACCUGGCAUCAUUGUCUCUCUCUGAACAAUCUGGAAGCUUUUUUAUGGUAGUGAAUUGCUCAUUUGGGGUGCGAGGAUUGAAGCAGGCAAGUGUCUGGGUCAUUAUGUGCUCAGCCAUGUCUUACAUAGGUGUUUGGAUUUGUAUAGCACUGGUUAAUCUGUAAUGUGUUUUAAUUUAGAGACAUAAAUUCUGGCCAGAAUUCUAUGCUUUAAUUAAAUAGUGUCAAGGGAUUGAUCGCAGCAUAUUGAUCCAUAACUGAACAUUUUAUCCAUGAAGUCACAGGUCCAGUGAGUCAUCAUUGCCUAGAAUACCCUACUUCAAACAAUGAAACUCACUUUCAAUCUAUCAUCAUCUUUCACUCUUCAGUGAAACCCCAUGUAGCUUCCAGAUGUGGUUUCAGGAUUUCUCUAUAUUGUUGGAGAGAACAAGAACCUGAGACCUGCCGAACAGCAGGUGCCAAAGAUGCUGCUGUAACACCACAGCCCUCCCAUCUUCCAUCCUCCACUGGCGCUGAGUGGCAGUCCCAUGUGACAGGAAGUGGAGGCAGAGCUGGGCCAGCCCAGGAGCCACGUGCUGGAGCCAGAUACUCUGUUUUUCUACAAAUGGAAAGUUUGUGGCAUCCUUGACUCAAGCAAAUUUUUCAGCACCAUUUUUCAAGAGCGUGUGCUCACUUCACCUCUCUGUAUCGUGUUUUGAUGCUUGUCCUGGAAACCAACCAUGAGCUGUGAUGAAAUCCAGGCAACUGAGUUGUGUUUCAGCCCAAAGCAGCAAAUGGAAUCCAGCUUCAGGACCAUCAUCUGACAUAGGGGAAGAAGACUUACAUAGAAGGCCUAACCAGCACCCAAGAUCAUGGCUGGUGUCAGAGAAGGCUGAAUUGGGUACCAAGACAUUCCUUCUCUCCAGGUGGUAACAAGGACCCUCACAUGGUAUUAAUGAAGACCAAAUGUUUGAAUUUCUGCUUGACUUCUUCAAUUGUGAAAUCUGGAUCUAUGCAGGAAUCCCACCAUAUUCUCAGAGUGAAG
rnacentral:lncRNA from 1 species